rnacentral:rRNA from 1 species
UACGAAGGGGGCUAGCGUUGCUCGGAAUCACUGGGCGUAAAGCGCACGUAGGCGGAUUGUUAAGUCAGGGGUGAAAUCCUGGAGCUCAACUCCAGAACUGCCUUUGAUACUGGCGAUCUUGAGUCCGGGAGAGGUGAGUGGAACUCCGAGUGUAGAGGUGAAAUUCGUAGAUAUUCGGAGGAACACCAGUGGCGAAGGCGGCUUACUGGUCCAUUACUGACGCUGAGGUGCGAAAGCGUGGGGAGCAAACAGG